GAGAAAUUGGCUGUUUUGCCAGCGCCAAGAGUGGGUUUCGCCCAAAUGCCAUUAAGUUUUUGGGCUUCGCCCGUUUGCCAGCGCCAACCAUCGCUCUCCCGCUGAAAUGCCCUGAGAGAACGGACCAAAUCCACUUGCUUGCUCCUCGCCACGCAUCGAGCCGGCCCGUCCGUGCGCCGCCGCCGCCGACGACCCCGACGGCCGCCGUCCGCGCUAGCCUCCUCCGCCGCCCCCGUCCGCGCCAACCGCCGGCGCUGACGACCCCGUCCGCGCUAGCCUACGCCACCGCGCCCAGUCGGCUGCUGCAGCCCUAGCCCCGUCCGCUCGUCGCCAUGGGAUCUCCGAUGAAGUCAACCUCUGCUGGCUCAAGCUGCAGUGGUAAGUGCCCCAAAUGCCAUGUUGGUUCAUUGGUCCGAAUCCAGAGCCAUCAGCCGAAUACGUAUGGGAAGUGGUUUGUCAAGUGCUCUGAGAACAUCUGGGGUGAUCCAACUAGUUGUGGUUACAUUCGCCCUGAUGUGCAGAAUGUUAAGUCAGAAGCACAAGAACAUGGACUGGAGGCUGAGCCAUCUGCCCGUGGCUGUUGCUCUGAGAUGAAAGAUGAAGUUAAACUGUUGAAUCAAAGAAUUGACAGUGUUGUAACUGAAGUGUGGAAUCUGAAGGUAGCUUUUGUGGGAUGUGUAGGUGUCGUGAUUGGUGUUUUAGUUGCCUAUAUGCUUCUCAAGUGAAGCGUGUGUUGUAAUGGAGACUCAAUGUAAUGCCACCAUGACUUUGCAA